rnacentral:rRNA from 1 species
GACGAACGCUGGCGGCGUGCUUAGCACAUGCAAGUCGAACGGUGAUGCUCCAGCUUGCUGGAGUGGAUCAGUGGCGAACGGGUGAGUAACACGUGAGCAACCUGCCCCAGACUCUGGAAUAAGCGCUGGAAACGGCGUCUAAUACUGGAUACGAAACUGGCCCGCAUGGGCAUGGUUUGGAAAGUUUUUCGGUUUGGGAUGGGCUCGCGGCCUAUCAGCUUGUUGGUGAGGUAAUGGCUCACCAAGGCGACGACGGGUAGCCGGCCUGAGAGGGCGACCGGCCACACUGGGACUGAGACACGGCCCAGACUCCUACGGGAGGCAGCAGUGGGGAAUAUUGCACAAUGGGCGAAAGCCUGAUGCAGCGACGCCGCGUGAGGGAUGACGGCCUUCGGGUUGUAAACCUCUUUCAGCAGGGAAGAAGCGAAAGUGACGGUACCUGCAGAAGAAGCACCGGCUAACUACGU